UUUCUCUCUCUCUCUCUCUCUCUCUCUCUCUCUUUCUCUGGGCUUUUUUUAGUGUUUUGCAGGGCUGAUGUCAUAGUGCCUAUUUUCUUUUAGCAAUGCAGAACCAACAAGAUGGGGGAGAGAGAGAAAGAGAGAGGGAGAGAGAGAGAAA